CCCUCCCCCACUCGUAUUCCAUCUCUCAAAAAUAAACAUUCAAAAAAAAAAAAACUUUUUUCUUUACUUUCAUGGAGAAAGACACUGCUUUUUAAGUUUGUAUCCAAUUCUCUAUAUAAUUAAUAUUCUACCACCAAAGCAUUUUUAGAAUUAGUGCGUAUGUAAUAUAACCCAAACAAACAAAAAAACUUAAUGCCAAUUUCAGAGGUAAUUCAACAUGAAGUAUUUUAUUGCUCGUUACGUAUAAUCCUGACUUCAGAGUAAGGAGACAACAACGUGACUCAUCUGUGUUCAUUUCAGUACUGAGGCUUUAAAAGGUAAAAAGAAAUAUUAAGUGUGUAAUACCUCAAGGCACUAGAACAGCUAAAUAAUGAAGUAAAACACAACAAAAAGAAAAAAAUAUGUAAAGAGGUGGUCCUACCAUAAAUAUAUUCUUUAUUUAGCUACAAGGAAAAUUAACUUGUGUUUUCUCUGUAAUGAAGUGAAAAUCUUUUUACGACACAUUCCACCUCUCUGCUAGUGACUUCUUGCUCAUCACGAUGUGCGCGCUCAAUUCUGUCCGUGGAGAACAACUUAGAGUAAAACAGCGUUCGCACUCGGGCUUCUCAGAAGUCAGAGGACACACUGGCUGCCACUGUUCUGUUCUCACCUUGGGUGGAAGUAGCUGUCCAGACCCCACUUGGAGAAGGGGUACCGUCCACCUGGUCCUGAUGACUCUUCCAAUGACCGGAGGGACCCCCAGGCUGGUACCACCAGAUGGGCACCUUCAGGAAACCCUGAAGAAUGGAGCAUUUCUAACUUCUGUGACGUACAUGCAUGGAGUGAAUUUCUACUUCCACAGAGAGAAAUAUCUUGAUAACAGAAAACGUU